rnacentral:lncRNA from 1 species
CUGGCUCUGGGGACUCCAUUUCAGUGAAGCUUCUCCCAUGGGUCACUGCUGUUGACAUGUGGCUCAGGGACACCAGACGCAGGUAUUUGUGACCUAGGUAAGGUUCUAUGACUCCUUCAUGUCCACAGUUCCCACCCUUUGUGGCUUGAAGUUGACAGUGCUCAAAAGGAUAAGGAGAAGAAAGUAGUACAGAGAACAAUGGGAUUCGGACAUCGCCUACACAGUGGGAUGAACCCACAGGUGAUGUCCCCUGCCACAUCAGAACGAGCUCAGAGCUGAGGGCAGAACCGAAGUGACAGCUUAAGGACCAGAGCACCGCUCAGGAAGGGAGAGAGGCUGAGUAUGGUCGCACUUGGGGACCCUGGGGACCCGCGGGGGACGGGCAACCAACCUGUGCGCCGCCUUCUGCUCGCACCGGGCGGUAGCGUCCUUGGGGCAGAGAACCGGGCUGGGCUGGCGGAAGCCAAGGGAAGCUGGGCUGGGCAGGCGGGUGGGACUGAGCUGGGCUGGCUUCGGAGGCUGGCCGGGGGGCGGGCUGAUCGCUCCUCCCUCAAGGAAACAGAACUGGAGUGCUUCUGUUGGGGUCCUGGUGCUAGCUGACUCCUAGCAUUCCAUCAGUGGCUGCACUCCUGAGAUACUCAGCACACACACAAACAACAUUGAGCUCCAGCCUGAAGUGCCGCAAGGCAAGAGUGGAAAAACAGCAAGCUUUACCACAGUGGAUUCUUGUUAAGAGCCCAGCACCCGGUAAACUCUGCCAAUCUCUGUGAACAAUGCAGAUGGCAGUGUGAUAGUGCAGUGCUCUUGGCAUUGGGCGCUAAAGAAACUGGGUGAAGCAGGGAAGUGGUUGUGCUUUUUAAGCUAAACACACGCAGCAUUUGAUACACACACACACACACACACACACACACACACACUCACUCACUCUUACUCCAAAGAGUUAGGGAACUUAGUGUCAGGAUAUAAGUUUAGUUUAAAAGAUUAAAAAACCAACCAACCAACUGGUGUAAUUUUUGCAAACCAGCAAUCUCACAAGGGUGCCGUCUGUCCGCAGAUGUCCGCUGGCUCCUGGUCAGAUGGUCAGUGUUUCUUUAUCUGGUUAAUUUGGCUUGGGCUCCUUACUUGAUUUCUAACUGAUUGAUUUGUUUGUUUUGAGACAAGGUCUUCCCGUGUAGCCCUGAAGACUCCAAACUGUAAGCCAUGCUCCUGCCUCAGCUUCCCAAGCACAGGACCUACUUGGUUGGGCUUUUGUUUGGAUGAGGGAGGUGUGUAUGUCUCCCUCCCAUAGCAGGUCUGCUGUUGGCUUCAGGUUUCUAGCAGGCAGGUGAUACUGCAUCUGGGUGGCUGGUGGAAUAAAGACUUCUGGGGCUUGACUUGGAAAGGGGAUGUCUGCCUGAAGGCAAGUGUUGUGUCUCAGGAACACGAAAUACAACCUCUGUGAUUUGUGCAAGCAUGGUCAGAGGUGAC